GGGAAAUAUUUUCAGCCCUCAGUUACGGGGGCUCAAGAGAAUGUAUGAUGUUUUCAAUGCUCUUGAUGCAGCUUCAUCACAAGACAACAGCACACAAUUCAGCAAAGCCCUAAUUGGCAGGUGUGGAAUGAGUUUUCAUAUAAAAUCCAGGUGUGGAUUUCUGCUUUGUUUACCUGCACUAAUAAUGAUACAACUGGGUCCUUAUACAAAAAUAGUGUAUUGAAAUAUCUCC
rnacentral:lncRNA from 1 species